rnacentral:rRNA from 1 species
UACAGAGGUCUCAAGCGUUGUUCGGAUUUAUUGGGCGUAAAGCGUGCGUAGGCGGCGGGGUAAGUGAGGUGUGAAAUCCCGGAGCUUAGCUCCGGAACUGCACUUUAUACUGCCUUGCUCGAGGGCUGGAGAGGAGACUGGAAUUUACGGUGUAGCAGUGAAAUGCGUAGAGAUCGUAAGGAAGACCAGUGGCGAAGGCGAGUCUCUGGAAAGCUGCUG